UACGGGGGGGGCAAGCGUUGUUCGGAAUUACUGGGCGUAAAGGGCUCGUAGGCGGCCAUCUAAGUCAGACGUGAAAUCCCCCGGCUUAACCUGGGAACUGCGUCGGAUACUGGCGGGCUUGAAUCCGGGAGAGGGAUGCGGAAUUCCAGGUGUAGCGGUGAAAUGCGUAGAUAUCUGGAGGAACACCGGUGGCGAAGGCGGCAUCCUGGACCGGCAUUGACGCUGAAUAGCGAAAGCCAGGGGAGCAAACGGG
rnacentral:rRNA from 1 species